CUGUGGUGUUCCUGAAAUGCUGGUCCUUCUUAUGUGUCUCCAGCAUUUAGCAUGGUCCCUGGCACUUGGCAUAUAUAUAUAUGUGGAACUGACAAGUUGGAUGGGUAUUGACACCCCCAUUUCCUGGAUGCAACUCAGAGAAGCCAAGUGAUUUCCCCAAUGUCACACAGCUAGUAAGAGCUGGAUCUGGACGCGACAUCAGGCUGGCCUGAUUCCCAGUCCCUGCUCCUGUCCGCGGGCAAGGCAGAGAGCUGCUUUCCCUGGCACGGCCCCAUUCGUAUCCGGAGAGGGAAACUUCGGCUCACGGGGAUUACCUGCUCCAGCACUGACAGCGUGUUCAUCUCGUCCACUUAUCUGCCGUCUAUCUUCCUUCUAGCGGAGAUCACUGAAACAGUGGGCACCGCUGGCCUCGCAACCCCAGGAUUCAUGCACCACACACCACAACCCUCUGAUGAGAACAAGAGGAAAUCCUCAGAGUUUAAACUCUUAAGUAUUUACAGACACAUUCUCAGCAUUGCAUCCCUGGUUUUCUUCAAAGGGCAAAGACAGAGGAACCCAACCUGCCACAUGCUGCAUUGCCAUGAUGUAGGCAAGAGGGAGUAACCUCCACAUGCAGCCCCCUGCAAUCGGC